UUAUCAUGUGAUGUAAAAUUGGACCCCCGCCCAGAAUAUCAUCGGUGCAUACUGACUUGGCAUCACCAAGAACCACUACCUUGGGCACAGAGUACAGGGAAUCAGAUGAGUAGUCGUCUGAUGAGUAUGCGCAGUGCCAAUGGACUGUUGAUGCUACCUCCAAAGACAGAGCAGUAUGUGGAGCUUCACAAGGGGGAGGUGGUGGAUGUCAUGGUCAUUGGACGGCUAUGAUGUCACCAGCAAGAGCGAAGCUUUGAUGCAUGUCCACAUAUCAUUGACUGUAUCCUGUAAUAUGCAACGGCACAGCUAGUUUUUCUGAUUUGGAUAAAAGUUGAUCAGUAUAGUCAACAUCUUGAAUUAUAUUUCAAAUGGAAUUUAAAUAAAUACCUUUUAAAAAAAACUUUAAAAGAAAUCUUAACAAAGAAAUUUAUUCUGAUUAUAUCAAAGCAACUUUUUCCUUUCCUUGCAAUUGCUUUGUGUGUUCAAUGCUAGUUCUAAUAGCGGUAGCUUUUAGUAGACAGCAGUAGGUGCCUGCAGAACUUGUGUUUUUUCUCAUCUUUAAGAUACAACUACUUAUGCUCUUAAAACAAGGCUGUCUGCUUAUUUAUACUAGCGUAGACAACACUUGGAUUUCCCUUAUUAGUAUGCUUCAUAACCGCUUCACAGAGAGCUUCUGCUUGUUCUUUAUCUUGUAUCUCGUGUUGAUGUGCACAGUGCCAAAAGCAGAGUGGCUGCUCUGGGAACCCAAUGAAGCCCCGAGGUUUUCUCACCUCGCUGCGCAUUCAGGGAUCUCUCUUGUCCCGGCAGCCACCCAGCUCAGUACUCUUGGGCAGUAACUGGAUACCUUUUAUUUCAACAAACAAAAAAAUUGCUUCCUUAAGUGCUGACAGCCUUUUUAACCAAUACAUUUAAAAAUGUACAGAACUAAAAACUAAAAAAAAUCAAAGACUGAUCUUGUACAGAUAUUAGUGUUACCAGCAUUCGUGUGGAAAUUAAAUGAGCAAAGAAAUAAAACUAAUGUUAAACAACUCUGUACCAUAACAUUUUCUGUAAUGAUAUUGAAACUUAAAUGAAUAAAAAAAAUCCUCAAUCAUUAUUUAAAA